GUUUGUGUAGGAGAUCUAAGUUGUUCGUACAUUCAAGCUGUCAUCGAGCGUUCCAUUUUCAAGAUCGAACGAUCAACCUCCAUACUAAACAUUCGAUGAAGACUAAUCUACAUGUGAUGUGAAGGUUAAGAUGUCAGAGAAUGCGGAGAAUAAUUCGAGAACACAUCGGUACUUUGCAGAUUAGGAUGCUGCCAGGCCGUAGAGUGAGCAUUCCUCUUGGAUGAAGAUAUCGAGCG